UUCAUGUAUUAAGGAGGGUCAACCGUCAAAUUUAUCCCUAGGCGCCAUUUUUCUCCCCUGUACGGCUUCCCGUUGCAGGGAAGAAAAAAUGUAAUUGGAAAGGGCGUCCAUUUUUUGAGAGCGCGAAUUUUGCAUUUCCCCUGAUUUAGGUCGAUUUUGUCUGACCUUCAUAAUCUUCAGACAGCUAGCAAGGAGGAACCUUUUUUUACUAUGAGCACUUUUAUUUUUACUGAUUUGGCAGGAGGGCUCAAUAUUUCAACAUUUUUUUCUUCUUUCGCCUUUCUUUUCGUAGUUCAGAGUACGGCUUGCAGAGAAAACAGCAUCAACUGAUUUCAGAAAUUGUUUUUGUCCGAUACUUGCGCAUGGCACUCGAAGAAGUGGCGGACGCUCCAUUAGUGGUGGUUCAGUGUUCUCAGAGCAUUUGCAGAACGUUCAUGUCCUGUAUUGACUGUAAAAUGCUUUAUUGAAAAGGAAGAAAUGGAGUGGGCUUGCAGUUCGUGGUGAGAGGAGCAUUUAUGAAUUUCGAUGUCCUUUCUCACAAAUGCCAUUUGAUAUAUAUAUAGCAGACUGGGUACAGUCAAGCAAUGCCUUGCAUGGCCGAUCAAGACAUUACUUGAUCGUGCCCCUUCACUAUAAUAAUAAUACAUGGCGUUUAUUUACCAAACGGUGUAUGUUUAUAUUAACACUCGAUAACAAUCGGUGAAUGCUUGCCUUAACACCCGAUAACAAUCGGUGCAAACAUAAGUUAACAUCGAUACUAAUCGAUGUUUGGUCUACCCGAUAAUUGUUUGUUUUAUCAUUAAAUGAGUUAACCGAAUUAACUC